AGAGUUUGAUCCUGGCUCAGAUUGAACGCUUGCGGUAUGCAUAACACAUGCAAGUCGUACGGCAGCACGGGCUAAGGCCUGGUGGCGAGUGGCGAACGGGUGAGUAACGCCCCGGAACGUGCCUUGUAGUGGGGGAUAGACUGGCGAAAGUCAGAGUAAUACCGCAUGAAGCCACGCAGCAUGCGCGGUGAAAGUGGGGGAUUCUAGCCUCACGCUACUGGAUCGGCCGGGGUCUGAUUAGCUAGUUGGCGGGAUAAUAGCCCACCAAGGCUGAGAUCAGUAGCUGGUCUGAGAGGACGGUCAGCCACACUGGAACUGAGACACGGUCCAGACUCCUACGGGAGGCAGCAGUGGGGAAUCUUGGACAAUGGGGGGAACCCUGAUCCAGCAAUGCCGCGUGUGCGAAGAAGGCCUUCGGGUUGUAAAGCACUUUUGUUCGGAAAGAAGGGGGGCGUGCUAACACCAUGCCCUCUUGACGAUACCGAAAGAAUAAGCACCGGCUAACUACGUGCCAGCAGCCGCGGUAAUACGUAGGGUGCGAGCGUUAAUCGGAAUCACUGGGCGUAAAGGGUGCGCGGGUGGCUUGCCAAGACCCCUGUAAAAUCCUACGGCCCAACCGUAGAGCUGCGGAGGUGACUGGCAAGCUUGAGUAUGGCAGAGGGGGGUAGAAUUCCAGGUGUAGCGGUGAAAUGCGUAGAUAUCUGGAGGAAUACCGAAGGCGAAGGCAACCCCCUGGGCCAUCACUGACACUGAGGCACGAAAGCGUGGGGAGCAAACAGGAUUAGAUACCCUGGUAGUCCACGCCCUAAACGAUG
rnacentral:rRNA from 1 species